rnacentral:rRNA from 1 species
GACGAACGCUGGCGGCGUGCCUAAUACAUGCAAGUCGAACGCACUCUCGUUUAGAUUGAAGGAGUUUGCUCCUGAUUGAUAAACAUUUGAGUGAGUGGCGGACGGGUGAGUAACACGUGGGUAACCUGCCCUAAAGUGGGGGAUAACAUUUGGAAACAGAUGCUAAUACCGCAUAAAACCUAACACCGCAUGGUGUAGGGUUGAAAGAUGGCUUCGGCUAUCACUUUAGGAUGGACCCGCGGUGCAUUAGUUAGUUGGUGAGGUAAAGGCUCACCAAGACCGUGAUGCAUAGCCGACCUGAGAGGGUAAUCGGCCACACUGGGACUGAGACACGGCCCAGACUCCUACGGGAGGCAGCAGUAGGGAAUCUUCCACAAUGGACGAAAGUCUGAUGGAGCAACGCCGCGUGAGUGAAGAAGGUUUUCGGAUCGUAAAACUCUGUUGUUGGAGAAGAAUGUAUCUGAUAGUAACUGAUCAGGUAGUGACGGUAUCCAACCAGAAAGCCACGGCUAACUACGUG